rnacentral:rRNA from 1 species
GUCCUAUUACGUUGGCCAUGCCUCUGGUAUGCACUGGUCUCACUGAUUCCUCCUUCCUGAUGAGCCGUAAUGCCAUUAAUUUGGUGUUGCGGGGAAUUUGGACUGUUACUUUGAAAAAAUUAGAGUGUUUAAAGCAAGCUAACGCUUGAAUACAUUAGCAUGGAAUAAUGAAAUAGGACGUUCGAUCCUAUUUUGUUGGUUUCUAGGAUUGACGUA